rnacentral:rRNA from 1 species
UACGUAGGGGGCUAGCGUUGUCCGGAUUUCUUGGGCGUAAAGAGCGUGUAGGCGGCCAGGUAGGUCAGCUGUGAAAACUCGAGGCUCAACCUCGAGACGCCGGUUGAAACCAUCUGGCUAGAGUCCGGAAGAGGAGAGUGGAAUUCCUGGUGUAGCGGUGAAAUGCGCAGAUAUCAGGAAGAACACCCGUGGCUAAGGCGGCUCUCUAGUACGGUACUGACGCUGAGACGCGAAAGCGUGGGGAGCGAACAGG